rnacentral:lncRNA from 1 species
UGAACAAGAGAAAAUCUCCCCCUCAUGUCACCGCUCUGAAGAGACAGAGUCAGCGACAGUGGCGGCAGCGAGGGUGGGAAAGGGGCACUUCAGCCAUGGAGAGAACAUUGUUCUUAACAGCACUUCUUUGCCUUGGCUCGGCCUCUAAGGACCAUGCUGCCCUUGGCGUAUAUCAGACCCCGCUCUGUAUCUCUGCGGAUGUGGGGACGGAGCCCAUUAUGGAGUGCAGGUUCCCUCCCAUGGAGGCAAGUGAAAUAGUUUUUAUCUCAUGGUACAAAGAGGGAGAGACACUAAACUCAUCAGACAGCCGCCUCCUACGGUCUGUAACCCUCACAGCAGGGUCUGGUACUCUCAGGAUAUCCCAUGUGCAGACUAAGGAUGCUGGAGUCUAUACCUGUGAGAUGGGGAAUAUCACCCACAGGUCUACCGGGAAUGGCACAAAACUAGAAGUCCAUGAUUCAACCCCACCUACGAAUCAAUCUGCAAUGGAAGGAUGUGUUUGGGUUACUGCACCUCAGGAAGAGAAAGUGGCAACAUCUGUAGGCAUUAAUAUUCUGCUUCUCAGAAGCGUCGUUGGAGCGGUGCUCUUGUUGACUCUAGUGCUUGCGGUCAUCAUCGUCCAUUUCAUGUCAGAGCCAAAUAAAGACAGAGCUGAUGGGAGCCCGGUCAGGUUUCUCUGGUUGAACUCCAGCCCCUGGUUAUUCCCUGCUAUGGGCUGGUAUGACCUGGCCACCAUAGAAGGAGAGGUGAGGAGGGAAGAAACGAAGCAAGCCAGGUAAUAGAGCAGUACUUACAACAAAGACAUAUUGGAUUUAUUUUAC